GAUGAACGCUGGCGGCGUGCCUAACACAUGCAAGUCGAACGGAGAUUACGGACGGAAGUUUUCGGAUGGAAGCCUGUAAUUCUUAGUGGCGGACGGGUGAGUAACGCGUGGGCAACCUGCCCUAUACAGGGGGAUAGCAGCUGGAAACGGCUGGUAAGACCGCAUAAGUCGGCGAGACCGCAUGGUUUUGCCGGGAAAUGAGCAAUCAGGUAUAGGAUGGGCCCGCGUCCGAUUAGCCAGUUGGCAGGGUAAAAGCCUACCAAAGCAACGAUCGGUAGCCGGACUGAGAGGUCGGACGGCCACAUUGGGACUGAGACACGGCCCAAACUCCUACGGGAGGCAGCAGUGGGGGAUAUUGCACAAUGGAGGAAACUCUGAUGCAGCGACGCCGCGUGAGUGAAGAAGUAUUUCGGUAUGUAAAGCUCUAUCAGCAGGGAAGAUGAUGACGGUACCUGACGAAGAAGCCCCGGCUAACUACGUG
rnacentral:rRNA from 1 species